CUGGCGGCAGGCCUAACACAUGCAAGUCGAACGGUAACAGGAAGCAGCUUGCUGCUUCGCUGACGAGUGGCGGACGGGUGAGUAAUGUCUGGGAAGCUGCCUGAUGGAGGGGGAUAACUACUGGAAACGGUAGCUAAUACCGCAUAAUGUCGCAAGACCAAAGAGGGGGACCUUCGGGCCUCUUGCCAUCGGAUGUGCCCAGAUGGGAUUAGCUUGUUGGUGGGGUAACGGCUCACCAAGGCGACGAUCCCUAGCUGGUCUGAGAGGAUGACCAGCCACACUGGAACUGAGACACGGUCCAGACUCCUACGGGAGGCAGCAGUGGGGAAUAUUGCACAAUGGGCGCAAGCCUGAUGCAGCCAUGCCGCGUGUAUGAAGAAGGCCUUCGGGUUGUAAAGUACUUUCAGCGGGGAGGAAGGGAGUAAAGUUAAUACCUUUGCUCAUUGACGUUACCCGCAGAAGAAGCACCGGCUAACUCCGUGCCAGCAGCCGCGGUAAUACGGAGGGUGCAAGCGUUAAUCGGAAUUACUGGGCGUAAAGCGCACGCAGGCGGUUUGUUAAGUCAGAUGUGAAAUCCCCGGGCUCAACCUGGGAACUGCAUCUGAUACUGGCAAGCUUGAGUCUCGUAGAGGGGGGUAGAAUUCCAGGUGUAGCGGUGAAAUGCGUAGAGAUCUGGAGGAAUACCGGUGGCGAAGGCGGCCCCCUGGACGAAGACUGACGCUCAGGUGCGAAAGCGUGGGGAGCAAACAGGAUUAGAUACCCUGGUAGUCCACGCCGUAAACGAUGUCGACUUGGAGGUUGUGCCCUUGAGGCGUGGCUUCCGGAGCUAACGCGUUAAGUCGACCGCCUGGGGAGUACGGCCGCAAGGUUAAAACUCAAAUGAAUUGACGGGGGCCCGCACAAGCGGUGGAGCAUGUGGUUUAAUUCGAUGCAACGCGAAGAACCUUACCUGGUCUUGACAUCCACGGAAGUUUUCAGAGAUGAGAAUGUGCCUUCGGGAACCGUGAGACAGGUGCUGCAUGGCUGUCGUCAGCUCGUGUUGUGAAAUGUUGGGUUAAGUCCCGCAACGAGCGCAACCCUUAUCCUUUGUUGCCAGCGGUCCGGCCGGGAACUCAAAGGAGACUGCCAGUGAUAAACUGGAGGAAGGUGGGGAUGACGUCAAGUCAUCAUGGCCCUUACGACCAGGGCUACACACGUGCUACAAUGGCGCAUACAAAGAGAAGCGACCUCGCGAGAGCAAGCGGACCUCAUAAAGUGCGUCGUAGUCCGGAUUGGAGUCUGCAACUCGACUCCAUGAAGUCGGAAUCGCUAGUAAUCGUGGAUCAGAAUGCCACGGUGAACACGUUCCCGGGCCUUGUACACACCGCCCGUCACACCAUGGGAGUGGGUUGCAAAAGAAGUAGGUAGCUUAACCUUCGGGAGGGCGCUUACCACUUUGUGAUUCAUGACUGGGGUGAAGUCGAAACAAGGUAACCGUAGGGGAACCUGCGGUUG
rnacentral:rRNA from 1 species